rnacentral:rRNA from 1 species
AUUGAACGCUGGCGGCAGGCCUAACACAUGCAAGUCGAACGGUAACAGGAAGAAGCUUGCUUCUUUGCUGACGAGUGGCGGACGGGUGAGUAAUGUCUGGGAAACUGCCUGAUGGAGGGGGAUAACUACUGGAAACGGUAGCUAAUACCGCAUAACGUCGCAAGACCAAAAAGGGGGACCUUCGGGCCUCUUGCCAUCGGAUGUGCGCAGAUGGGAUUAGCUAGUCGGUGGGGUAACGGCUCACCUAGUCGACGAUCCCUAGCUGGUCUGAGAGGAUGACCAGCCCCACUGGAACUGAGCCACGGUCCAGACUCCUACGGGAGGCAGCAGUGGGGAAUAUUGGACAAUGGGCGCAAGCCUGAUGCAGCCAUGCCGCGUGUAUGAAGAAGGCCUUCGGGUUGUAAAGUACUUUCAGCGGGGAGGAAGGGAGUAAAGUUAAUACCUUUGCUCAUUGACGUUACCCGCAGAAGAAGCACCGGCUAACUACGUG